CUACGGGAGGCAGCAGUAAGGAAUAUUGGUCAAUGGACGAAAGUCUGAACCAGCCAUGCCGCGUGAAGGAUUAAGGCCCUCUGGGUUGUAAACUUCUUUUAUCUGGGACGAAAAAAGGGUAUUCUUACUCACUUGACGGUACCAGAGGAAUAAGCACCGGCUAACUCCGUGCCAGCAGCCGCGGUAAUACGGAGGGUGCAAGCGUUAUCCGGAUUUACUGGGUUUAAAGGGUGCGUAGGUGGGUCUGUAAGUCAGUGGUGAAAUCUCCGAGCUUAACUCGGAAACUGCCAUUGAUACUAUAGGUCUUGAAUUAUCUGGAGGUAAGCGGAAUAUGUCAUGUAGCGGUGAAAUGCUUAGAUAUGACAUAGAACACCAAUUGCGAAGGCAGCUUACUACGGAUAUAUUGACACUGAGGCACGAAAGCGUGGGGAUCAAACAGGAUUAGAUACCCUGGUAGUCCACGCCCUAAACGAUGGAUACUCGACAUCAGCGAUACACUGUUGGUGUCUGAGCGAAAGCAUUAAGUAUCCCACCUGGGAAGUACGAUCGCAAGAUUGAAACUCAAAGGAAUUGACGGA
rnacentral:rRNA from 1 species